UUAGUAGUGGCGAACGAAAAGGAAUGAGCCCAGCGCAGAACGUUCCGGGGCACUCGCCCUGAGAAUGAAUGUUGCGUUAAGGAUAUUGGCAUACACCCAUGGCAGUUACACUUUGCUAAGUCAGCCUCGAAUGGUUCUCGUGAAGCCGGUAACACGGUGAGACUCCAGGGAGGGUGUUAGACCCGUGUGAAGGUGCAAUCUGCUUGGGCAAGCCGAUAUCCCGAGAGUCGCGUUGUUUGAACAUGCAGCGCUAAGCAGGUCGUAGACUCGAUCUAAGGCUAAAUAUGUCCACAGAACCGAUAGUUAACAAGUACCGUGAGGGAAAGUUGAAAAGCACUCCGUAACGGAGAGUCAAAAGACCGUGAAACCACUCAGAGUAUAAGCCAAUGGUGUCUGGAAGGUCCUGUGCUUACAUCUUGGUGUCAAGGACUCAUGCGAACCUCAGCACUUGCGGGAGCAAUCUCUCCGUUGCUUUGGUAAGCUUGUCCGCUGAAGCACUCCGUUGACCCACCUGGCUCGUUGUGAGGUGUCCUGAGAGCAAAGCGAAGUGUUAAGAUUGGCUUGGAGUUGGGCGUGGGCGUCUCGAUGCCUUUCGCACUCUCCUUUUCGAGCACUUCUUCAGUUCUAUUCGCACAAAGUGUGGUAGUCUUGGAGUGUGCGCUGCUUGACGCUCUCUGGAACCAUCCUCUGCGACGAAGCUUCAAUGCCUUAGUGAGCGGCCGUCUUCCUCCUCGGGAGUCGGUACAUUGGCGCGGCUUGCACACUGUCGGUGCUCCGCUGUUCAACUCUGGCGCAAGGUGUUACGUCCGAUACCAUUGGUCACGUCUCGAAACACGGGCCAAGGAGUAUAGCGUGUGUGCAAGUCUAAGGGUUCCACAAAACCUGGAGGCGUAGUGAAAGCGAGUUAUGGUGUCUCACUGGACUGAUGGAGAAGGCAGUGAUGCGUGAUCCCGCAAGUCCCGGACUCGUCGUCUGCACUGCUUCGGUUGUGUUAGCGCGAGCACCGCAGAGCACAUACGCUAUGACCCGAAAGAUAGUGAACUAUGCUUGGCGAGGGUGAAGCCCCAGGAAACUGGGGUGGAGGCCCGUAGCCGUUGUGACGUGCAAAUCC
rnacentral:rRNA from 1 species